GUGCCAGCAGCUGCGGUAAUACGGAGGGUGCAAGCGUUAAUCGGAAUUACUGGGCGUAAAGCGCACGCAGGCGGUCUGUCAAGUCGGAUGUGAAAUCCCCGGGCUCAACCUGGGAACUGCAUUCGAAACUGGCAGGCUAGAGUCUUGUAGAGGGGGGUAGAAUUCCAGGUGUAGCGGUGAAAUGCGUAGAGAUCUGGAGGAAUACCGGUGGCGAAGGCGGCCCCCUGGACAAAGACUGACGCUCAGGUGCGAAAGCGUGGGGAGCAAACAGGAUUAGAUACCCUGGUAGUCCACGCCGUAAACGAUGUCGACUUGGAGGUUGUGCCCUUGAGGCGUGGCUUCCGGAGCUAACGCGUUAAGUCGACCGCCUGGGGAGUACGGCCGCAAGGUUAAACUCAAAUGAAUUGACGGGGGCCCGCACAAGCGGUGGAGCAUGUGGUUUAAUUCGAUGCAACGCGAAGAACCUUACCUACUCUUGACAUCCAGAGAACUUAGCAGAGAUGCUUUGGUGCCGUUCGGGAACU
rnacentral:rRNA from 1 species